GAUGAACGCUAGCUACAGGCUUAACACAUGCAAGUCGAGGGGCAGCAUGAACUUAGCUUGCUAAGUUUGAUGGCGACCGGCGCACGGGUGAGUAACACGUAUCCAACCUGCCGAUGACUCGGGGAUAGCCUUUCGAAAGAAAGAUUAAUACCCGAUGGCAUAGUUCUUCCGCAUGGUAGAACUAUUAAAGAAUUUCGGUCAUCGAUGGGGAUGCGUUCCAUUAGGUUGUUGGCGGGGUAACGGCCCACCAAGCCUUCGAUGGAUAGGGGUUCUGAGAGGAAGGUCCCUCACAUGGGAACUGAGACACGGUCCAAACUCCUACGGGAGGCAGCAGUGAGGAAUAUUGGUCAAUGGACGAGAGUCUGAACCAGCCAAGUAGCGUGAAGGAUGACUGCCCUAUGGGUUGUAAACUUCUUUUAUACGGGAAUAAAGUGAGGCACGUGUGCCUUUUUGUAUGUACCGUAUGAAUAAGGAUCGGCUAACUCCGUG
rnacentral:rRNA from 1 species